rnacentral:ncRNA from 1 species
AGUCCAUCACGGUUCCUCUAUAACGAGGUGAAAAGGGAACACGGUGAGGCUCGUUGAGAGUUAAAUCCGUGGCUGCUCCCGCAACUGUAGGUGGUUUGCUUGGAUUUGUUUUUGCCACUGGUCUAACACCGGGAAGGCUGGAUUCAAGUUCUAAGCCAUGAGCCAGGAGACCUGCCGUUGGUA